AUUGAACGCUGGCGGCAGGCCUAACACAUGCAAGUCGAGCGAGCGGCGGACGGGUGAGUAAUGCCUAGGAAUCUGCCUGGUAGUGGGGGAUCACGUCCGGAAACGGUAGCUAAUACCGCAUACCAUCCGAUGAACCCAUAUGGGAUUAGCUAGUAGGUGGGUUAACGGCUCACCUAGGAGACGAUCCCUAGCUGGUCUGAGAGGAUGAUCAGCCACACUGGGACUGAGACACGGCCGUGACUCCUACGGGAGGAAGCAGGGGGGAUGAGUGGACAAUGGGCGAAAGCCGGAUGCAGCCAGGCCGCGGGUAUGAAGAAGGCCUUCGGGUUGUAAAGUACGUUCAGUCGGGAGGCGUUACCGACAGAAGAAGCACCGGCUAACUCCGUGCCAGCAGCCGCGGUAAUAC
rnacentral:rRNA from 1 species